UGGAAGUAAAAGUCGUAACAAGGUCUCCGUUGGUGAACCAGCGGAGGGAUCAUUGC
rnacentral:rRNA from 1 species